ACGGGUGAGUAAUACAUCGGAACGUAUCCUGGAGUGGGGGAUAGCCCGGCGAAAGCCGGAUUGAUACCGCAUACGCUCUGAGGAGGAAAGCGGGGGACCUUCGGGCCUCGCGCUCAAGGGGCGGCCGAUGGCGGAUUAGGUAGUUGGUGGGGUAAAGGCCUACCAAGCCGACGAUCCGUAGCUGGUCUGAGAGGACGACCAGCCACACUGGGACUGAGACACGGCCCAGACUCCUACGGGAGGCAGCAGUGGGGAAUUUUGGACAAUGGGGGCAACCCUGAUCCAGCAAUGCCGCGUGUGUGAAGAAGGCCUUCGGGUUGUAAAGCACUUUUGUCCGGAAAGAAAUCAUCGGGGCCAAUACCCCUGGUGGAUGACGGUACCGGAAGAAUAAGCACCGGCUAACUACGUGCCAGCAGCCGCGGUAAUACGUAGGGUGCGAGCGUUAAUCGGAAUUACUGGGCGUAAAGCGUGCGCAGGCGGUGCUGUAAGACCGAUGUGAAAUCCCCGGGCUUAACCUGGGAACUGCAUUGGUGACUGCAGCGCUGGAGUAUGGCAGAGGGGGGUGGAAUUCCACGU
rnacentral:rRNA from 1 species